rnacentral:rRNA from 1 species
UGGCUGUCGUCAGCUCGUGUCGUGAGAUGUUGGGUUAAGUCCCGCAACGAGCGCAAAAAGUUGUUAGUUGCCAUCAGGUAAUGCUGGGCACUCUAGCGAGACUGCCGGUGACAAACCGGAGGAAGGUGGGGACGACGUCAAGUCAUCAUGCCCCUUAUGCCCUGGGCUACACACGUGUUACAAUGGCUGGGACAAUGCGAUGCAAUGCCGCGAGGUUGAGCGAACCGCCAAACCCAGUCUCAGUUCGGAUCGCAGGCUGCAACUCGCCUGCAUGAAGUCGGAAUCGCUAGUAACCGCC